GGGGUGGCCGCGGGAGGCCGCCCGGCGCAGGGAGCUGGGCCCGCGGUGCGCUGCGCACAGCCAGGCCGUGCGGGGCCCUGUCAGCGGCGCUGGCCUGGGCUGAGGGUGCUGCGGGCAGAGUUUGGAGCCCCCGGGGUGGCGGGACUGGCUUUGUGGGCACAGCCCUGACCCAGUUGCUGCGGAGCCGUGGCCAUGAAGUGACCCACGUCUCUCGACAGGCGGGCAAGGAUCGGAUCAGCUGGGACCAGCUAUCUCAGUCUGGACUGCCCCAGUGUGACGCUGUGGUGAACUUGGCCGGUGAAAAUGUCCUCAACCCUUUCCGCAGAUGGGGUGAUGCCUUCUGCAAGGAGAUCAUCAGAAGCCGGGUUGAGACCACCAAGACCUUGGCCAAAGCCAUUGCUGAUGCUGAGCAGCCACCCCAUGCUUGGGUUGUCGUCACUGGCGCUAUUACCGCCCUAGCCCCACAGCAGAGUAUACUGAGGACAGUCCUGGGGGGGAUUUUGACUUCUUUUCACGCCUGGUGAGCUCCGGGGAGGCUGCAGCUCUCAUCCCUGGGAGCCCAGCUCGUGGUGCUGUGGUGAGAUCUGGGGUAGUGCUGGGCCAAGGUGGUGGUGCAAUCGCUCAAAUGAUCUGGCCUUUCCGCCUGGGGCUCGGCGGCCCAAUAGGCUCUGGGCUCCAGCCCUUCCCGUGGAUCCACAUUCGGGACCUGGCUGGGAUUGUGUGUCAUGCCCUGGAGACUGAGGGCCUGCAAGGCGUCUUCAACGGAGUCUCUCCGUCUUCCCCUGCCACCUCCAAUGGCAGCUUUGCUCGGGAGCUCGCUGCUGCCCUGGGGCGCCCGGCGCUGCUGCCCAUGCCCGCUUGGGCUGUGCGCGCUGUCUUUGGCGCGGAGCGGGCUGUGAUGCUGCUGGAGGGCCAGCGGGUGGUGCCAAAACGCACCCUGGAAAGUGGCUACAGCUUCAUGUUCCCGGACCUGCCUGCAGCUCUGAAGGACAUCGUGGCUUGAGGACUCCUCGGUUGGGCUGGCUUGGGCCCUAUUUCUCCGAGCAGCCUUGCUCAUAUGCCUUCCUCUGGGUGAAAGAGGCAAGCCCUGCCCCUUGUUGAUACUUCCCUACUCCCAUACAGAGAAGAUGAGCAAUCUCUUCCCCUUCUGUCUCCCUUUGUGCAGCCCCAGUUUAGGAGUCAUCCCUCUUACUGUCAUCUGCAGUCUCCAAGUGACCUGCUUCUGAGCAGGGGAAUAGGCCCCUCUAAGGAUUGUGGCUGCUGAAUCUGCCAUCUUCCCUUUUCCACUCGUGCUGAUCCCUCAGUAGCUGGCACUUGGUCCUUGCAGCACAAAUACAUGGGAUAGAAUGAGGUUACACAGAGAGUGUUAUGAAAAGAUGUUAUAAGAAGACAGGCCAGGCUGUGGUGAUAAAGUGUUGAGCUCAGCCAGGCCAGCACUGACUGGCCCCGGUUUACACCCAGCCAGCCUCUUUUAUACCCCUUUUUUGUCUACCCCCACUCCCCUUUGUUGCUCCCAGUUUCCCCUCCCCUGCAUGUUCCCUUAAUGGGUAACAUGGUCCCCCCAACUCCAUCCAACAUCCUGGGCACUCAGGUUUGCAUCCUUGCCAGUUGUUAAGUCCUGGUUGCCUGUAGCUUCUGGAGAGCUCAUCAGUUAGUGCACAGAGCAACCAGGUGAUUGGGCCGAGGCAGCAUGGAUUUAUGAAAGGCAGGUCUUGCUUGCAAAGCCUGAUCUCCUUCUAGGACAAAAUGACCUGCUUAGUGGAGGGCGGGAAGACUGUGGGUGUUGUCUACCUGGACUUCAGUCCAUGACCCUACCAUGUUGACCCUUCUCUCCUAAAUGGGUGUCUCCAGCUACUGUUCACCUCUGGUCCCUCCAGUAACCAACACUUCCAGUUGUCAUACACAGCUGGUUUAGAAGUCACUUCACUUACUCAGCUGCCUGGAUAGUUACUUACACAAUUACACAGCCUUGCUUGCUCAGUGUGCUGGUAGCAUGGACAGGCUUUCUGACUCUGCUUACUGCGCUCAGGCUCACACACAUACACACACAUGCACACAGAAUAGAGAGUGAUCACCCAGGAAAACAGUUAGCAAUGAAGUUUAGUAAGAAGAUAAGGGACAUCGUUGAGCAGGCAAAGGGCAGGGCCAGACAACUGUACCAACCAGCCUGUGGUUUCUCCCCUGAAUAUCCUAUAAUAAAUCUUGAACAGUCCUGA